rnacentral:rRNA from 1 species
AAUUAAACAAUUAAGAGUGUAUGGUGGAUGCCUUGGCAGUUAGAGCCGAUGAAGGACGCAGCAGCCAGCGAUAUGCUUCGGUGAGGUGGCAAGCAACCGUUAUAACCGGAGAUUUCCGAAUGGGGAAACCUAUAUGCUGGAAGAGCAUAUGUUUUUAGAUCGUGGUGGUCUAAGAAACGGGAACCAUGUGAAGUGAAACAUCUCAGUAACAUGAGGAAAAGAAAAUAAGGGCUUUAAGUAUUAUUACGAAGUGGGCAAAAUUUGAUCCAAUCUUUUUUUGGAUCAAAUAUUUGUCUAUUUCGGAGGUCGCUUUUUGUGGCCGAAGAAAAUACUUUUUGUCUCAUUCUCCUAGUAGUGGCGAGCGAACGGGGAAGAGUCCAAACUAACUUUGUGUCUCCCGACUGACUUCUUAAGCAAUUAAGAGGAAUGUCUGGAUUAAAGCUUACAGGCGUUGCAAAGAUUAGGGUAGCAACAAUGAUUCAUUAGAAUGCUGUAACAUUCUUGAAGAUAUUAUAAGUCGAUCCUUUUAAGUUCCUUUUGGGACUUAAAAGAUCGGUGUAGAGCUGUUUAGCCGAAUGGUCUGGAAAGGCCAGCCCAAGAGAGUGAAAGCCUCGUAGAGCGAAAAACCUCUAAAUACUUCCGAAUCGUUUGUUAAGUACAACUAGACACGUGAAAUCUAGUUGGAAUCUGUGUCGACUACGACAUAAGACUAAAUACUCUAACUGACCGAUAGUGAACUAGUACCGUGAGGGAAAGGUGAAAAGCAGCCCGGUGAGGGCGAUGAAAUAGUACCUGAAACCGUACACUUACAAUCGAGUGGGAGCCUGGGCGCAUUUUGCUGAAGCAAAAUGACGCAAGUUCCAAAUUACAAAUGCUCCGCCUACGCAUUAAGCUUCGGCGGACAAGCAAAUAACAAGUAAAUUUCAAAUCUCAAAUUCCAAAAAGAAAAGGGCGAGCCGCUUGAAAAGCGACGCGCCGAGUGAGGAGUCGUCUUGCUUCUAGUUAAGAUAGUUAAGCAAGAUAAACCCAAUCACUGCCCCGACAGUUGCCAUCACAGCGGCGAACCUGAUGAUUCUCGACCGAGCAUAUGUCGAGACGAGAAUCGCCGCAGUAGUGACGAUGGCGAAGAUCGGGAUUGCGUAGAUAGCCAGUGAUGGCUGCAUGAGUGGACCUCCAAUCCGAGUUGACGAGCAGAUAAUAUUAGCAUUUAACCGUAGGUAUGUCAACCGGGUUUGGAUUUUGAACUUUUGAGAUUUAUUUGGAUUUUGAUUUUUGUUAUUUGUAAUUUCAGCGCAUUUCGCGUAGCGAAAUGCGUCUGGGUGACCGCGUGCCUAUUGAAGAAUGACCCAACGAGUUAGCCAUACGAUGCUUACUUAAGCUUGAACUCAAGCGUAGGUAUAGUGAAAGCGAGCGUUAAUAGCGCGUAUUAGUUAAUUGUUACGAUCUGGUAAUUUACCAGUUCGUAAACAUUUAACUAAAGGUAUCGUAUGCUAAACCCGAAACCCAGUGAGCUACUCAUGGUCAGGAUGAACCCUGUAUAACAGCAGGGGGAGGUCCGAACGCAUGUAUGUUGCAAAAUGCUGCGAUGAACUGUGAGUAGAGGAGAAAUUCCAAUCGAACUGGGUAAUAGCUGGUUCUCCUCGAAAUAGCUUUAGGGCUAGCCUGUGCUGCACGUAUAAGAGGUAGAGCACUGAAUCGGCUUUGCGGGAGCAAUCUCGCAAACCGAACCAAACUCCGAAUUCUUAUACUUAAGGGCAUGGAGUCAGACAAUGAGGUCUAAGCUUCGUUUGUCUAAUGGAGAAGAGUCCGCACCGCCGUUUAAGGUCCCCAAAUCGAAACUAUAGUGAAAAGGAUGUGGGAUCGCUAUUACAACCAGGAGGUUGGCUUAGAAGCAGCCAUCCUUUAAAGAAAGCGUAACAGCUCACUGGUCAAGCGAUCCUGCGCCGACAAUUUAUAGGGACUAAGUUUCGUACCGAAGGCGCGGGUUCGUUCAGAUUUAUCUGGACGAGCGGUAGAGGAGCGAUCACACAGGGCUGAAGCAGAAAGGGAACUUUCUGUGGACAUGUGUGAUGUGAGAAUGUUGGGAUAAGUAAUAUAUAUGCGUGUGAGAAUCACGCUCACCAAAAAUCCAAGGUUUCCUGGGCAAUGAUAAUCAUCCCAGGGUUAGCCGAUCCUUAGUUUCUGCCCGAACGGGUAGGGAUGAUGGCAAAUACGGUUGAUAUUCCGUAGCCGCUUAUAAUACUGAUGCAAUUACACAUCAUGGUAAUCUGAGCAUGAUUUUGACUAUUCGUGUUCUUAUACUGGCAGUGGGAUGUUCAAGGCAAAUCCUGAACGUUUAUGUGCCCAGCUCCUACUUUUCCGCAAGGAAAAGAGGAACUGGAUUACUGUAACCGCGAGAGUAAGAGAAGACCCUGAGCAAUCAGGGAAUUUAGGUGAACCAAGGUGUCAAGAAACCUUGCUAUGGCUUGGGGUGUAGAUGAGUUCUAAGUUAUAAAGUUCAUAAAGUUUAUAAAGUCUUUGACUUUACGAACUUAGAACUUUCAACUUUUAACUUGUUUUUCCCCAAAUAUUUAUAAGUGAUCGUACCGCAAACCGACACAGGUGGAUGAGUAGAGAAUACUAAGGUGUCCGGGAUAAUAUUCCUUAAGGAACUCGGCAAAACAGCGGCCGUACCCUCGGUAUAAGGCCUGCCCAGCCCUUUCGCAAGAAAGAGCUGGGCCGCAGCGAAAGACCCCUCCCGACUGUUUAUCAAAAACUUAGGUCCGUGCUAACCCGAAAGGGGACGUAUACGGGCUGAUGCCUGGCCAGUGUCAGAAGGUCAAAAUGACUGGGGCAACCUCGUCAUCCAAGCCCUGAUGAACGCCGGCAAUAACUAUAAUUGUCCUAUGGUGAACGAAAGCUGCCAUAGUGAGGUGAAAGACCUCCUUUUGAACUGUGAAUGCCUCACAGACGUAAAGAGAAAACUUGACUAUAUGCUGGAAAAUCCGAGCAUCUAUUGCUACUAUUGAAUACAUUCAUACAGUCGUGUAUGAAUGUGCGUAGUGACAAUGCAAUAGUGCGGACAAUCAGCAGGGAACCUUGUAAUAGGCCCCUCAGAGACUAUACGUCAAGCUUCUAAAGUUUAGAAGAAGAUAUAGUCCGAACUAUGCAGCGAUGCAUAGAGCAGAGCAGAAAUGACUCUGCCGUCAUCCUGAAUUUAUUUCAGGAUCUAGAUUCCGGAUCAAGUCCGGAAUGACAGUAACAACUCGAGCGAAAUUCCUUGUCGUGUAAGUUACGACCCGCACGAAUGGCAUAACGAGUAGGGGACUGUCUUAAGGAAUAACCCGAUGAACUUACAAUGACGGUAAAGAUGCCGUCUACCCGCAACAAGACGGAAAGACCCUAUGAAGCUUUACUAUAGCGUGUCAUUGAUCCAAAGUUCUUUUUGUUUAGCAUAGGUGGGAGUCUUUGAAACCUGGGCGCUAGCCCAGGUGGAGACAACAAGUGAAAUACCACCCUGAAAGAAUUUUGUAUCUAAUCUCAAUUUAACCAAUCGAGAGACAGUGGCUCGUGGGUAGUUUAACUGGGGCGGUUGCCUCCUAAAUGGUAACGGAGGCGUUUAUUAAGGUCAGCUUAGCUCCGAUGGAAACGGAGCUGGACGCGCAAACGCACAAGCUGGCUUGACUGCAAGACUAGCACGUCGCGCAGAUACGAAAGUAGAAGUUAGUGAUCCGACCAUCCUUCGUGGAAGGGUGGAAGCUCAACGGAUAAAAGUUACUCUAGGGAUAACAGGCUGAUCCUGCCCAAGCGUCCACAGCGACGGCAGGGUUUGGCACCUCGAUGUCGGCUCAUCACAUCCUGGGGGUGAAGAAGCUCCCAAGGGUUCGGCUGUUCGCCGAUUAAAGUGUUACGCGAGCUGGGUUCAGAACGUCGCGAGACAGUUCGGUCCUUAUCUGUUGUGGGUGUUCGAAACUUGAGUGGGCGCAUCCUUAGUACGAGAGGACCAGGAUGCAUAGACCUCUGGUGUACCGGUUGUCGAGUCUUCGGCAUCGCCGGGUAGCUAGGUCUAGUUAAGAUAAGCGCUGAAUGCAUAUAAGCGCGAAGCUGUCCACAAAACUAGGUUUCGUUUCUUGAAAUAUAGAGAUAGAUUCGGGGAAGACUACCCCGUAAUUAGUUAGUAGUUUGUAGUUAGUAGUUGGUAAGCAGGAGCAAUCCUGAUUACUGUUCGCUGAUUACUGAGUACUGACCCUAUAGGUCGCAGGUGUAAGUGCAGUAAUGCAUUGAGCCGAGCGAUACUAAUCAAUCGAAAGUUUAAUUCA